rnacentral:rRNA from 1 species
UACCAGCUCUCCGAGUGGUAGGGGUGAUUAUUGGGCUUAAAGCGUCCGUAGCCGGCUUAGCAAGUCUCCUGUUAAAUUCAGCGACCUAAUCGUUGAGCCGCGGGAGAUACUACUAGGCUAGGAGGCGGGAGAGGUCGACGGUACUUCUGGGGUAGGGGUGAAAUCCUAUAAUCCCGGGAGGACCACCAGUGGCGAAGGCUGUCGACUAGAACGCGCUCGACGGUGAGGGACGAAAGCUGGGGGAGCGAACCGGAUUAGAUACCCGGGUAGUCCCAGCUGUAAACGAUGCGGGCUAGGUGUUGGGGUGGCUACGUGCCACUUCAGUGCCGCAGGGAAGCCAUUAAGCCCGCCGCCUGGGGAGUACGGCCGCAAGGCUGAAACUUAAAGGAAUUGGCGGGGGAGCACCACAAGGCGUGAAGCUUGCGGUUC